UACGGGGGGGGCAAGCGUUGUUCGGAAUUACUGGGCGUAAAGGGCUCGUAGGCGGCCAACUAAGUCAGACGUGAAAUCCCCAGGCUUAACCUGGGAACUGCGUCUGAUACUGGAUGGCUUGAAUUCGGGAGAGGGAUGCAGAAUUCCAGGUGUAGCGGUGAAAUGCGUAGAUAUCUGGAGGAAUACCGGUGGCGAAGGCGGCUUCCUGGCCUGUUCUUGACGCUGAGGCGCGAAAGCUAGGGUAGCAAACGGG
rnacentral:rRNA from 1 species